UACCUUUCAUCUUGUGUUGAGACUUCGUGGU
rnacentral:piRNA from 1 species